rnacentral:ncRNA from 1 species
GUGGUUUUAUAAAAGUUUUAUCCUGGCUAAUAGUUCUUAUUAUUAAGUUGAUGGUACAUGUAAGAUUUGAACGUGACAAUUAGUAUAUUUAAUUUAAUAUUAGAUGUAUAAAAAGAGUAGAGGAGUCAAUAAGAAAUUAAGUCUCAGUAUUUAGUGCUAAUUAUAAAUGUAAGUUGGAAUUGGUAAUCUUAAUUUUAUUCAUCUGGCUAAAAUUUGUGCCAGCAGCCGCGGUUAUACUGAGAGGUGGAUUAAGAAAGAUUUGGUUAAAAACAAUUAAGUGUGUUGGCUUACAAUUUAGAUGUUCGUACUGAUAAAGGGUGAAAUCAAUUUUUUGGUGAGCGAAGAACUUAAAGAUAGGCUAAAAUUGAAGUUGUUAAGAUAAAGGUAUGGACCAGGAUUAGAUACCCUGUUACACUUUAUUAAAAUUUGUUUUACCGGGGUAAUAAACAGUUAUUGUCUUGAAACUCAAAGGAUUUGGCGGUAAUUUAGUCUAUUUAGAGGAACCUGUCCUAUAAUCGAUAAACCACGAAGAAUCUUACCUUGUUUAGUAGUUUUUCAGUUUGUAUACCGUCAUUAUUAGAUAACUUUAAUAGAAGUGAGUUAUUACAAUAAUUGUUUUAAUAUAUUAGAUCAAGGUGCAGCCGAUAGCAAGGAAGAGAUGGGUUACAAUAUAAUGAAUUUAUACGGAUUAAGAUUUUAAAUUUUCUUGUGAAGGUGGAUUUAAUAGUAAAAGUGGUUUAACAAGCCUCUUUGAUUUUAGCUCUAGAUUAUGUACACAUCGCCCGUCGCUCUCGUUAAUUAAAGCGAGAUAAGUCGUAACAUAGUAGGUGUACUGGAAAGUGUACCUAGA